rnacentral:tRNA from 1 species
GUUUUUUUUGUAGAGGUUUUACACAAAGGAUUGAAAAUCCCCGUGUCGGUGGUUCGAUUCCGCCUCGAGGCACCA